AUGGAGUGGGACUAUGUUCAGAGACCAUGGAAGGGGACUCCGGUGCCUUGUGACGACUCUGAUAGGGCACUUUUCCAGGCUUGCACUAAGAUCACCAUCGGGGAUGGGUGCUCGGCCAAGUUUUGGAAGGAUAGAUGGCUGGACGGCGAGUCCCCGGCUAUGGUAGCUCCUUUGAUGUUCAGAUUGGCCUUAAAGAAAAACAGCUUGGUUAAAGACGCCUUGCACAAUGGUUGCUGGAUGAGAGGAUUAAUGCGCAUGAACUCUCACGAGGAAAUCCACCAAUUCUUGGGACUUUGGGAGAAGGUCUAAAAUGUGCAACUAUCAACCUCCAGAGAUAGCAUUGCCUGGCAUCUGUCGGCUGAUGGUUCGUACUCGGCACCACGCACAGUUCCUUGGGCGCUUGCACCAACCAGAGCUGGCCAGUGUUUGGAAGGUGAAAACGGAUAG
rnacentral:rRNA from 1 species